ACUAGAGUAGCACUCGCAUAUCAAUAAGCGGAGGAAAAGAAACUAACAAGGAUUCCCCUAGUAACGGCGAGUGAAGCGGGAAGAGCUCAAAUUUGAAAUCUUAAAGGGUUUCCCUUUACGAAUUGUAGUUUAAAGAAGUGUUUUCUGUUGAGGUUUUGGUAAAAGUUCUUUGGAAUAGGACAUCAUAGAGGGUGAGAAUCCCGUAUUUGACCUUUACUUUCAACUUUGUGAUACACUUUCAAAGAGUCGGAUUGUUUGGGAAUGCAGUCCAAAAUGGGUGGUAAAUUUCAUCUAAAGCUAAAUAUUGGCGAGAGACCGAUAGCGAACAAGUACCGUGAGGGAAAGAUGAAAAGAACUUUGAAAAGAGAGUUAAACAGUACGUGAAAUUGUCAAAAGGGAAGCGUUUGACACCAGUGUUGUUUUUCUGAAAAUCAAUUAAAGAACUGUUUAUGCUAAGCUGUUUAGACUUUAUCAGCUAAUCUGUUUAGUUUUGAGCUUUUCUUUAAUGCACUUUUCAGUUAACAAGUCAACAUCAAUUUCUUUUGCUGUAAAAAAGCUUGAGGAAGGUGGCUUGAGAUUCGUCUUAAGUGUUUAUAGCCUCUUGCCUAUGCAGUCGGAGGGAUUGAGGUCUGCAGCGUAGAUCCUUCGGGGCUAAAUGCAUUUGUGCUAAGUUAUAGCAUUUUAUAGACAACUUGUUGACUAUGAUUUGUCUUGUAGCUUACUCGCUUAUGUUAUUUUACCUACGCUUAGGAUGUUGAGCGCAUGUCUCUCUCU
rnacentral:rRNA from 1 species